CAACCCUCAGUCAGCCCCGGCCGACUGGUGUUGGGGCUCCCGCGGCUGCCGGCCGCGGGCCCCGAAAGCUAUCGGCGGUGCCUGCCAGCACUCCGGGCGCAGUAGCAAUCCUCGCCCAGGACGUCUGGCGGAGCGCCGGCCGCUAAACAGCCCCCCGCGGGCACUUUAUCA
rnacentral:misc_RNA from 1 species